rnacentral:rRNA from 1 species
UUAAAUUGAAGAGUUUGAUCAUGGCUCAGAUUGAACGCUGGCGGCAGGCCUAACACAUGCAAGUCGAACGGUAACAGAAAGCAGCUUGCUGCUUUGCUGACGAGUGGCGGACGGGUGAGUAAUGUCUGGGAAACUGCCUGAUGGAGGGGGAUAACUACUGGAAACGGUAGCUAAUACCGCAUAACGUCGCAAGACCAAAGAGGGGGACCUUCGGGCCUCUUGCCAUCGGAUGUGCCCAGAUGGGAUUAGCUAGUAGGUGGGGUAAAGGCUCACCUAGGCGACGAUCCCUAGCUGGUCUGAGAGGAUGACCAGCCACACUGGAACUGAGACACGGUCCAGACUCCUACGGGAGGCAGCAGUGGGGAAUAUUGCACAAUGGGCGCAAGCCUGAUGCAGCCAUGCCGCGUGUAUGAAGAAGGCCUUCGGGUUGUAAAGUACUUUCAGCGGGGAGGAAGGGAGUAAAGUUAAUACCUUUGCUCAUUGACGUUACCCGCAGAAGAAGCACCGGCUAACUCCGUGCCAGCAGCCGCGGUAAUACGGAGGGUGCAAGCGUUAAUCGGAAUUACUGGGCGUAAAGCGCACGCAGGCGGUUUGUUAAGUCAGAUGUGAAAUCCCCGGGCUCAACCUGGGA